GGUUAAGCGACUAAGCGUACACGGUGGAUGCCCUGGCAGUCAGAGGCGAUGAAGGACGUGCUAAUCUGCGAUAAGCGUCGGUAAGGUGAUAUGAACCGUUAUAACCGGCGAUUUCCGAAUGGGGAAACCCAGUGUGAUUCGUCACACUAUCAUUAACUGAAUCCAUAGGUUAAUGAGGCGAACCGGGGGAACUGAAACAUCUAAGUACCCCGAGGAAAAGAAAUCAACCGAGAUUCCCCCAGUAGCGGCGAGCGAACGGGGAGCAGCCCAGAGCCUGAAUCAGUGUGUGUGUUAGUGGAAGCGUCUGGAAAGGCGCGCGAUACAGGGUGACAGCCCCGUACACAAAAAUGCACAUGCUGUGAGCUCGAUGAGUAGGGCGGGACACGUGGUAUCCUGUCUGAAUAUGGGGGGACCAUCCUCCAAGGCUAAAUACUCCUGACUGACCGAUAGUGAACCAGUACCGUGAGGGAAAGGCGAAAAGAACCCCGGCGAGGGGAGUGAAAAAGAACCUGAAACCGUGUACGUACAAGCAGUGGGAGCCUCUUAAUGGGGUGACUGCGUACCUUUUGUAUAAUGGGUCAGCGACUUAUAUUCUGUAGCAAGGUUAACCGAAUAGGGGAGCCGAAGGGAAACCGAGUCUUAACUGGGCGUUAAGUUGCAGGGUAUAGACCCGAAACCCGGUGAUCUAGCCAUGGGCAGGUUGAAGGUUGGGUAACACUAACUGGAGGACCGAACCGACUAAUGUUGAAAAAUUAGCGGAUGACUUGUGGCUGGGGGUGAAAGGCCAAUCAAACCGGGAGAUAGCUGGUUCUCCCCGAAAGCUAUUUAGGUAGCGCCUCGUGAAUUCAUCUCCGGGGGUAGAGCACUGUUUCGGCAAGGGGGUCAUCCCGACUUACCAACCCGAUGCAAACUGCGAAUACCGGAGAAUGUUAUCACGGGAGACACACGGCGGGUGCUAACGUCCGUCGUGAAGAGGGAAACAACCCAGACCGCCAGCUAAGGUCCCAAAGUCAUGGUUAAGUGGGAAACGAUGUGGGAAGGCCCAGACAGCCAGGAUGUUGGCUUAGAAGCAGCCAUCAUUUAAAGAAAGCGUAAUAGCUCACUGGUCGAGUCGGCCUGCGCGGAAGAUGUAACGGGGCUAAACCAUGCACCGAAGCUGCGGCAGCGACGCUUAUGCGUUGUUGGGUAGGGGAGCGUUCUGUAAGCCUGCGAAGGUGUACUGUGAGGUAUGCUGGAGGUAUCAGAAGUGCGAAUGCUGACAUAAGUAACGAUAAAGCGGGUGAAAAGCCCGCUCGCCGGAAGACCAAGGGUUCCUGUCCAACGUUAAUCGGGGCAGGGUGAGUCGACCCCUAAGGCGAGGCCGAAAGGCGUAGUCGAUGGGAAACAGGUUAAUAUUCCUGUACUUGGUGUUACUGCGAAGGGGGGACGGAGAAGGCUAUGUUGGCCGGGCGACGGUUGUCCCGGUUUAAGCGUGUAGGCUGGUUUUCCAGGCAAAUCCGGAAAAUCAAGGCUGAGGCGUGAUGACGAGGCACUACGGUGCUGAAGCAACAAAUGCCCUGCUUCCAGGAAAAGCCUCUAAGCAUCAGGUAACAUCAAAUCGUACCCCAAACCGACACAGGUGGUCAGGUAGAGAAUACCAAGGCGCUUGAGAGAACUCGGGUGAAGGAACUAGGCAAAAUGGUGCCGUAACUUCGGGAGAAGGCACGCUGAUACGUAGGUGAAGUCCCUUGCGGAUGGAGCUGAAAUCAGUCGAAGAUACCAGCUGGCUGCAACUGUUUAUUAAAAACACAGCACUGUGCAAACACGAAAGUGGACGUAUACGGUGUGACGCCUGCCCGGUGCCGGAAGGUUAAUUGAUGGGGUUAGCGCAAGCGAAGCUCUUGAUCGAAGCCCCGGUAAACGGCGGCCGUAACUAUAACGGUCCUAAGGUAGCGAAAUUCCUUGUCGGGUAAGUUCCGACCUGCACGAAUGGCGUAAUGAUGGCCAGGCUGUCUCCACCCGAGACUCAGUGAAAUUGAACUCGCUGUGAAGAUGCAGUGUACCCGCGGCAAGACGGAAAGACCCCGUGAACCUUUACUAUAGCUUGACACUGAACAUUGAGCCUUGAUGUGUAGGAUAGGUGGGAGGCUUUGAAGUGUGGACGCCAGUCUGCAUGGAGCCGACCUUGAAAUACCACCCUUUAAUGUUUGAUGUUCUAACGUUGGCCCCUGAUCGGGGUUGCGGACAGUGUCUGGUGGGUAGUUUGACUGGGGCGGUCUCCUCCUAAAGAGUAACGGAGGAGCACGAAGGUUGGCUAAUCCUGGUCGGACAUCAGGAGGUUAGUGCAAUGGCAUAAGCCAGCUUGACUGCGAGCGUGACGGCGCGAGCAGGUGCGAAAGCAGGUCAUAGUGAUCCGGUGGUUCUGAAUGGAAGGGCCAUCGCUCAACGGAUAAAAGGUACUCCGGGGAUAACAGGCUGAUACCGCCCAAGAGUUCAUAUCGACGGCGGUGUUUGGCACCUCGAUGUCGGCUCAUCACAUCCUGGGGCUGAAGUAGGUCCCAAGGGUAUGGCUGUUCGCCAUUUAAAGUGGUACGCGAGCUGGGUUUAGAACGUCGUGAGACAGUUCGGUCCCUAUCUGCCGUGGGCGCUGGAGAACUGAGGGGGGCUGCUCCUAGUACGAGAGGACCGGAGUGGACGCAUCACUGGUGUUCGGGUUGUCAUGCCAAUGGCACUGCCCGGUAGCUAAAUGCGGAAGAGAUAAGUGCUGAAAGCAUCUAAGCACGAAACUUGCCCCGAGAUGAGUUCUCCCUGACUCCCUGAGAGUCCUGAAGGAACGUUGAAGACGACGACGUUGAUAGGCCGGGUGUGUAAGCGCAGCGAUGCGUUGAGCUAACCGGUACUAAUGAACCGUGAGGCUUAACCUU
rnacentral:rRNA from 1 species